UAAGCGACUAAGCGUACACGGUGGAUGCCCUGGCAGUCAGAGGCGAUGAAGGACGUGCUAAUCUGCGAUAAGCGUCGGUAAGGUGAUAUGAACCGUUAUAACCGGCGAUUUCCGAAUGGGGAAACCCAGUGUGUUUCGACACACUAUCAUUAACUGAAUCCAUAGGUUAAUGAGGCGAACCGGGGGAACUGAAACAUCUAAGUACCCCGAGGAAAAGAAAUCAACCGAGAUUCCCCCAGUAGCGGCGAGCGAACGGGGAGCAGCCCAGAGCCUGAAUCAGUAUGUGUGUUAGUGGAAGCGUCUGGAAAGGCGCGCGAUACAGGGUGACAGCCCCGUACACAAAAAUGCACAUAUUGUGAGCUCGAUGAGUAGGGCGGGACACGUGGUAUCCUGUCUGAAUAUGGGGGGACCAUCCUCCAAGGCUAAAUACUCCUGACUGACCGAUAGUGAACCAGUACCGUGAGGGAAAGGCGAAAAGAACCCCGGCGAGGGGAGUGAAAAAGAACCUGAAACCGUGUACGUACAAGCAGUGGGAGCACGCUUAGGCGUGUGACUGCGUACCUUUUGUAUAAUGGGUCAGCGACUUAUAUUCUGUAGCAAGGUUAACCGAAUAGGGGAGCCGAAGGGAAACCGAGUCUUAACUGGGCGUUAAGUUGCAGGGUAUAGACCCGAAACCCGGUGAUCUAGCCAUGGGCAGGUUGAAGGUUGGGUAACACUAACUGGAGGACCGAACCGACUAAUGUUGAAAAAUUAGCGGAUGACUUGUGGCUGGGGGUGAAAGGCCAAUCAAACCGGGAGAUAGCUGGUUCUCCCCGAAAGCUAUUUAGGUAGCGCCUCGUGAAUUCAUCUCCGGGGGUAGAGCACUGUUUCGGCAAGGGGGUCAUCCCGACUUACCAACCCGAUGCAAACUGCGAAUACCGGAGAAUGUUAUCACGGGAGACACACGGCGGGUGCUAACGUCCGUCGUGAAGAGGGAAACAACCCAGACCGCCAGCUAAGGUCCCAAAGUCAUGGUUAAGUGGGAAACGAUGUGGGAAGGCCCAGACAGCCAGGAUGUUGGCUUAGAAGCAGCCAUCAUUUAAAGAAAGCGUAAUAGCUCACUGGUCGAGUCGGCCUGCGCGGAAGAUGUAACGGGGCUAAACCAUGCACCGAAGCUGCGGCAGCGACACUAUGUGUUGUUGGGUAGGGGAGCGUUCUGUAAGCCUGUGAAGGUGUGCUGUGAGGCAUGCUGGAGGUAUCAGAAGUGCGAAUGCUGACAUAAGUAACGAUAAAGCGGGUGAAAAGCCCGCUCGCCGGAAGACCAAGGGUUCCUGUCCAACGUUAAUCGGGGCAGGGUGAGUCGACCCCUAAGGCGAGGCCGAAAGGCGUAGUCGAUGGGAAACAGGUUAAUAUUCCUGUACUUGGUGUUACUGCGAAGGGGGGACGGAGAAGGCUAUGUUGGCCGGGCGACGGUUGUCCCGGUUUAAGCGUGUAGGCUGGUUUUCCAGGCAAAUCCGGAAAAUCAAGGCUGAGGCGUGAUGACGAGGCACUACGGUGCUGAAGCAACAAAUGCCCUGCUUCCAGGAAAAGCCUCUAAGCAUCAGGUAACAUCAAAUCGUACCCCAAACCGACACAGGUGGUCAGGUAGAGAAUACCAAGGCGCUUGAGAGAACUCGGGUGAAGGAACUAGGCAAAAUGGUGCCGUAACUUCGGGAGAAGGCACGCUGAUAUGUAGGUGAAGUCCCUCGCGGAUGGAGCUGAAAUCAGUCGAAGAUACCAGCUGGCUGCAACUGUUUAUUAAAAACACAGCACUGUGCAAACACGAAAGUGGACGUAUACGGUGUGACGCCUGCCCGGUGCCGGAAGGUUAAUUGAUGGGGUCAGCGCAAGCGAAGCUCUUGAUCGAAGCCCCGGUAAACGGCGGCCGUAACUAUAACGGUCCUAAGGUAGCGAAAUUCCUUGUCGGGUAAGUUCCGACCUGCACGAAUGGCGUAAUGAUGGCCAGGCUGUCUCCACCCGAGACUCAGUGAAAUUGAACUCGCUGUGAAGAUGCAGUGUACCCGCGGCAAGACGGAAAGACCCCGUGAACCUUUACUAUAGCUUGACACUGAACAUUGAGCCUUGAUGUGUAGGAUAGGUGGGAGGCUUGGAAGUGUGGACGCCAGUCUGCAUGGAGCCGACCUUGAAAUACCACCCUUUAAUGUUUGAUGUUCUAACGUUGACCCGUAAUCCGGGUUGCGGACAGUGUCUGGUGGGUAGUUUGACUGGGGCGGUCUCCUCCUAAAGAGUAACGGAGGAGCACGAAGGUUGGCUAAUCCUGGUCGGACAUCAGGAGGUUAGUGCAAUGGCAUAAGCCAGCUUGACUGCGAGCGUGACGGCGCGAGCAGGUGCGAAAGCAGGUCAUAGUGAUCCGGUGGUUCUGAAUGGAAGGGCCAUCGCUCAACGGAUAAAAGGUACUCCGGGGAUAACAGGCUGAUACCGCCCAAGAGUUCAUAUCGACGGCGGUGUUUGGCACCUCGAUGUCGGCUCAUCACAUCCUGGGGCUGAAGUAGGUCCCAAGGGUAUGGCUGUUCGCCAUUUAAAGUGGUACGCGAGCUGGGUUUAGAACGUCGUGAGACAGUUCGGUCCCUAUCUGCCGUGGGCGCUGGAGAACUGAGGGGGGCUGCUCCUAGUACGAGAGGACCGGAGUGGACGCAUCACUGGUGUUCGGGUUGUCAUGCCAAUGGCACUGCCCGGUAGCUAAAUGCGGAAGAGAUAAGUGCUGAAAGCAUCUAAGCACGAAACUUGCCCCGAGAUGAGUUCUCCCUGACCCUUUAAGGGUCCUGAAGGAACGUUGAAGACGACGACGUUGAUAGGCCGGGUGUGUAAGCGCAGCGAUGCGUUGAGCUAACCGGUACUAAUGAACCGUGAGGCUUAACCU
rnacentral:rRNA from 1 species